UUUGUGCUUCAGAACCCAAAGGAAAAUCGGUUGCAGCAAGUGCCAAAGCAAAGGGCAAAGCCAUAGCCACAACAUCAAUGGCUCAAGGGAAGCAAAAGAGAGCUGAGAGAAGCUCUAGUGAGGAGCUGAGUGAGGAAGAGGACAAUGUGGUUUCACCAGCACCUGUGCCUCAAAAGAAGAAAAAGGUGAUCAAGAAAACGGAGCCAAAGUCGGUCACUUACAAUGAGUACCUCAAGAAACUUCAAGCUGUGUCUCAUGAAGGAACAAUGUAUCC
rnacentral:lncRNA from 1 species